rnacentral:rRNA from 1 species
UACGAAGGGGGCUAGCGUUGUUCGGAAUUACUGGGCGUAAAGCGCACGUAGGCGGAUAUUUAAGUCAGGGGGUGAAAAUCCCAGAGCUCAACUCUGGAACUGCCUUUGAUACUGGGUAUCUCGAGUAUGGAAGAGGUGAGUGGAAUUCCGAGUGUAGAGGUGAAAUUCGUAGAUAUUCGGAGGAACACCAGUUGGCGAAGGCGGCUCACU